UAUAGGGAGUACCUGUACUGAGUCAAUGUGCAGGGUACCAGGUAGUUGAGGUAAUAAUGAGACUAUAAGGAGAACCAGUACUGAGUCAAUGUGCAGGGUACCAGGUAGUUGAGGUAAUAAUGAGGCUAUAAGGAGUACCAGUACUGAGUCAAUGUGCAGGGUACCAGGUAGUUGAGGUAAUAAUGAGACUAUAAGGAGUACCAGUACUGAGUCAAUGUGCAGGGUACCAGGUAGUUGAGGUAAUAAUGAGACUAUAAGGAGUACCAGUACUGAGUCAAUGUGCAGGGUACCAGGUAGUUGAGGUAAUAAUGAGACUAUAAGGAGUACCAGUACUGAGUCAAUGUGCAGGGUACCAGGUAGUUGAGGUAAUAAUGAGACUAUAAGGAGUACCAGUACUGAGUCAAUGUGCAGGGUACCAGGUAGUUGAGGUAUUAAUGUGACUAUAAGGAGUACCAGUACUGAGUCAAUGUGCAGGGUACCAGGUAGUUGAGGUAAUAAUGAGACUAUAAGGAGUACCAGUACUGAGUCAAUGUGCAGGGGUACCAGGUAGUUGAGGUAAUAAUGAGACUAUAAGGAGUACCAGUACUGAGUCAAUGUGCAGGGUACCAGGUAGUUGAGGUAAUAAUGAGACUAUAAGGAGUACCAGUACUGAGUCAAUGUGCAGGGUACCAGGUAGUUGAGGUAAUAAUGAGACUAUAAGGAGUACCAGUACUGAGUCAAUGUGCAGGGUACCAGGUAGUUGAGGUAAUAAUGAGACUAUAAGGAGUACCAGUACUGAGUCAAUGUGCAGGGUACCAGGUAGUUGAGGUAAUAAUGAGACUAUAAGGAGUACCAGUACUGAGUCAAUGUGCAGGGUACCAGGUAGUUGAGGUAAUAAUGAGGCUAUAAGGAGUACCAGUACUGAGUCAAUGUGCAGGGUACCAGGUAGUUGAGGUAAUAAUGAGACUAUAGGGAGUACCAGUACUGAGUCAAUGUGCAGGGUACCAGGUAGUUGAGGUAAUAAUGAGACUAUAAGGAGUACCAGUACUGAGUCAAUGUGCAGGGUACCAGGUAGUUGAGGUAAUAAUGAGACUAUAAGGAGUACCAGUACUGAGUCAAUGUGCAGGGUACCAGGUAGUUGAGGUAAUAAUGAGACUAUAAGGAGAACCAGUACUGAGUCAAUGUGCAGGGUACCAGGUAGUUGAGGUAAUAAUGAGACUAUAAGGAGUACCAGUACUGAGUCAAUGUGCAGGGUACCAGGUAGUUGAGGUAAUAAUGAGACUAUAAGGAGUACCAGUACUGAGUCAAUGUGCAGGUUACCAGGUAGUUGAGGUAAUAAUGAGACUAUAAGGAGUACCAGUACUGAGUCAAUGUGCAGGGUACCAGGUAGUUGAGGUAAUAAUGAGACUAUAAGGAGUACCAGUACUGAGUCAAUGUGCAGGGUACCAGGUAGUUGAGGUAAUAAUGAGACUAUAAGGAGUACCAGUACUGAGUCAAUGUGCAGGGUACCAGGUAGUUGAGGUAAUAAUGAGACUAUAAGGAAUACCAGUACUGAGUCAAUGUGCAGGGUACCAGGUAGUUGAGGUAAUAAUGAGACUAUAAGGAGUACCAGUACUGAGUCAAUGUGCAGGGUACCAGGUAGUUGAGGUAAUAAUGAGACUAUAAGGAGUACCAGUACUGAGUCAAUGUGCAGGGUACCAGGUAGUUGAGGUAAUAAUGAGACUAUAAGGAGUACCAGUACUGAGUCAAUGUGCAGGGUACCAGGUAGUUGAGGUAAUAAUGAGACUAUAAGGAGUACCAGUACUGAGUCAAUGUGCAGGGUACCAGGUAGUUGAGGUAAUAAUGAGACUAUAAGGAGUACCAGUACUGAGUCAAUGUGCAGGGUACCAGGUAGUUGAGGUAAUAAUGAGACUAUAAGGAGUACCAGUACUGAGUCAAUGUGCAGGGUACCAGGUAGUUGAGGUAAUAAUGAGACUAUAAGGAGUACCAGUACUGAGUCAAUGUGCAGGGUACCAGGUAGUUGAGGUAAUAAUGAGACUAUAAGGAGUACCAGUACUGAGUCAAUGUGCAGGGUACCAGGUAGUUGAGGUAAUAAUGAGGCUAUAAGGAGUACCAGUACUGAGUCAAUGUGCAGGGUACCAGGUAGUUGAGGUAAUAAUGAGACUAUAAGGAGUACCAGUACUGAGUCAAUGUGCAGGGUACCAGGUAGUUGAGGUAAUAAUGAGACUAUAAGGAGUACCAGUACUGAGUCAAUGUGCAGGGGUACCAGGUAGUUGAGGUAAUAAUGAGGCUAUAAGGAGUACCAGUACUGAGUCAAUGUGCAGGGUACCAGGUAGUUGAGGUAAUAAUGAGACUAUAAGGAGUACCAGUACUGAGUCAAUGUGCAGGGUACCAGGUAGUUGAGGUAAUAAUGAGACUAUAAGGAGUACCAGUACUGAGUCAAUGUGCAGGGUACCAGGUAGUUGAGGUAAUAAUGAGACUAUAAGGAGUACCAGUACUGAGUCAAUGUGCAGGGGUACCAGGUAGUUGAGGUAAUAAUGAGGCUAUAAGGAGUACCAGUACUGAGUCAAUGUGCAGGGUACCAGGUAGUUGAGGUAAUAAUGAGACUAUAAGGAGUACCAGUACUGAGUCAAUGUGCAGGGUACCAGGUAGUUGAGGUAAUAAUGAGACUAUAAGGAGUACCAGUACUGAGUCAAUGUGGAGGGUACCAGGUAGUUGAGGUAAUAAUGAGACUAUAAGGAGUACCAGUACUGAGUCAAUG